rnacentral:rRNA from 1 species
GACGAAGGGGGCUAGCGUUGUUCGGAAUUACUGGGCGUAAAGCGCGUGUAGGCGGUUGUUCAAGUCAGGUGUGAAAGCCUUGAGCUCAACUCAAGAAAUGCACUUGAUACUGGAUGACUAGAGGACCGGAGAGGAUAGUGGAAUUCCCAGUGUAGUGGUGAAAUACGUAGAGAUUGGGAAGAACACCAGUGGCGAAGACGGCUAUCUGGACGGUUUCUGACGCUGAGACGCGAAAGCGUGGGGAGCGAACAGG